rnacentral:rRNA from 1 species
UACGUAGGGGGCAAGCGUUAUCCGGAUUUACUGGGUGUAAAGGGAGCGUAGACGGCAGCGCAAGUCUGGAGUGAAAUGCCGGGGCCCAACCCCGGAACUGCUCUGGAAACUGUGCGGCUAGAGUACUGGAGGGGCAGGCGGAAUUCCUAGUGUAGCGGUGAAAUGCGUAGAUAUCAGGAGGAACACCGGCGGCGAAGGCGGCCUGCUGGACUGAAACUGACGUUGAGGCUCGAAAGCGUGGGGAGCAAACAGG